rnacentral:rRNA from 1 species
GACGAACGCUGGCGGCGUGCUUAACACAUGCAAGUCGAACGGAAAGGCCCUGCUUUUGCGGGGUGCUCGAGUGGCGAACGGGUGAGUAACACGUGAGUAACCUGCCCUGGACUUUGUGAUAACUUCAGGAAACUGGGGCUAAUACCGGAUAGGAGCUCCUGCUGCAGGGUGGGGGUUGGAAAGUUUCGGCGGUUUGGGAUGGACUCGCGGCUUAUUAGCUUGUUGGUGGGGUAGUGUCUUACCAAGGCUUCGACGGGUAGCCGGCCUGGAAGGGUGACCGGCCCCAUUGGCACAGGGGUACGGCCCAGGGUCAUACGUGGGGAAGGAGCGGAGAAUAUUGCACAAUGGGCGGAAGCCUGAUGCAGCAUCGCCGCGUGCGGAAUGACGGCCUUCGGGUUGUAAGCCGCUUUCGCUUGUGACGAAGCGUGUUUGCCGGUAAUUGGUAAAGAAGCACCGCCUAACUACUU